rnacentral:rRNA from 1 species
UCUGGGACAAGCCCUGGAAACGGGGUCUAAUACCGGAUACGACUAUCGAGGGCAUCCUUGGUGGUGGAAAGCUCCGGCGGUGAAGGAUGAGCCCGCGGCCUAUCAGCUUGUUGGUGGGGUGAUGGCCUACCAAGGCGACGACGGGUAGCCGGCCUGAGAGGGCGACCGGCCACACUGGGACUGAGACACGGCCCAGACUCCUACGGGAGGCAGCAGUGGGGAAUAUUGCACAAUGGGCGAAAGCCUGAUGCAGCGACGCCGCGUGAGGGAUGACGGCCUUCGGGUUGUAAACCUCUUUCAGCAGGGAAGAAGCGCAAGUGACGGUACCUGCAGAAGAAGCGCCGGCUAACUACGUGCCAGCAGCCGCGGUAAUACGUAGGGCGCAAGCGUUGUCCGGAAUUAUUGGGCGUAAAGAGCUCGUAGGCGGCUUGUCACGUCGGAUGUGAAAGCCCGGGGCUUAACCCCGGGUCUGCAUUCGAUACGGGCUAGCUAGAGUGUGGUAGGGGAGAUCGGAAUUCCUGGUGUAGCGGUGAAAUGCGCAGAUAUCAGGAGGAACACCGGUGGCGAAGGCGGAUCUCUGGGCCAUUACUGACGCUGAGGAGCGAAAGCGUGGGGAGCGAACAGGAUUAGAUACCCUGGUAGUCCACGCCGUAAACGUUGGGAACUAGGUGUUGGCGACAUUCCACGUCGUCGGUGCCGCAGCUAACGCAUUAAGUUCCCCGC